rnacentral:tRNA from 1 species
GCCCUUGUAGCCUGGUCGGCAUAGCACUUCCAUGGUAAGGAAAGGGUCACCGGUUGAAAUCCGGUCGUGGGCU